UACGGGGGGAGCAAGCGUUGUUCGGAUUUACUGGGCGUAAAGGGCGCGUAGGCGGUCAGCACAAGUCGGUUGUGAAAUCUCCGGGCUUAACUCGGAAAGGUCAACUGAUACUGUGCGACUAGAGUGCGGAAGGGGCAACUGGAAUUCUUGGUGUAGCGGUGAAAUGCGUAGAUAUCAAGAGGAACACCUGCGGCGAAGGCGGGUUGCUGGGCCGACACUGACGCUGAUGCGCGAAAGCCAGGGGAGCGAACGGG
rnacentral:rRNA from 1 species